AGUCAGAGCUGCAAGUGUCAGGCCAGGCCAGCUGGAAAUCCACACAGCAAAUGGUUCAGUUCAGAGCCUCUGUGUCUUGCAGAAAGAAGAGAGAAGAGGAUAUUCUUCAUUUUAGGAAGCCCUUUUCCCUUUAGAAAGCUCUCCCUCUCUCUGUGCCUUCCAUGAGGCAGAAAUGUUUGCUUUGACCCUUGAGCAACAUUUUCUUCAGGAUGCAGGUGUACAAUUUUCAGCUUCUGUCACCCUAAACAACUAAUUGUAACUCACCUUUGACACCACAACAAGGAAUAUUUGCUGAAUUAAAACUGUACAGAGCAGCUGUUGUCCAACAGGCAAACAUUUUUUUCAGCUCCCCCCUGAAGCUGUCAUGGAGCCAGGCAUAGAGGAAGGCAUUGGUACAAGCAGACAUCAUUGCAAACCAGUGACACAGCAGCUGGAUGAAGUUGAAGUACUGCUUGUCAAUCAAG